rnacentral:rRNA from 1 species
UACAGAGGUGGCAAGCGUUGUUCGGAAUUACUGGGCGUAAAGGGCGCGUAGGCGGCCUUCUAAGUCAGACGUGAAAUCCCCCGGCUUAACCUGGGAACUGCGUCUGAUACUGGAGGGCUUGAGUGCGGGAGAGGGAUGUGGAAUUCCUGGUGUAGCGGUGAAACGCGCAGAUAUCAGGAGGAACACCGGUGGCGAAGGCGGUGAGCUGGGCAGUUGCUGACACUGAGGCGCGACAGCGUGGGGAGCAAACAGG